rnacentral:rRNA from 1 species
UACGUAGGGGGCAAGCGUUGUCCGGAUUUAUUGGGCGUAAAGAGCGUGUAGGCGGCCAGACAGGUCCGUUGUGAAAACUAGAGGCUUAACCUCUAGACGUCGAUGGAAACCGUCUGGCUAGAGUCCGGAAGAGGAGAAUGGAAUUCCUGGUGUAGCGGUGAAAUGCGCAGAUAUCAGGAAGAACACCCGUGGCUAAGGCGGUUCUCUAGUACGGUACUGACGCUGAGACGCAAAAGCGUGGGGAGCGAACAGG